rnacentral:lncRNA from 1 species
UAGACAAUGCUUGGUAAUUCUUCUAGAAUCAGCCACUCCAGAUCAGGGAGCACCAUCUCCUUCUCAACAUUGGCAGGUGAAGCAUGAUCAUCCUGCCCAAAUACUCCCAAUAAUUGAGAGGAUUCCUUUACUUUAAGUUGUUGGAGCUUUUUGAGACCUGAAGCCAUGGCUAUCGGGAAGAGACUCUUCAACUUGUUGCAUCCUGUGAUCUCAAGUCGACACAAAUUAGGGAAGCAUGAAGAUUGGAGAUCACUUCCUGAAAAUAUGUGAUUCUUUUCAUCAUCAUUAUCCUUAGCAAUGAUUUGCUCCAAUUCCUCACAGUCUGAUAUCUCUAGAAAUUCCAGUUGAAGUAGACUAGCAAUCAUGCUGUUUGUGAAUACAUGUGUCAGUCUCUUACACUCGUUCACCUUCAAAGUAGUCAAAUUUCUCGGCACGAGACCCUUCCAAAUACACCUCAGGUUUGGCAAUAAGUUCAAGUGUAAUGUUUCCAAACUCACGAUUGAAAGUUCAUGCCCACCUCUUCUAUUAGUUAUCAAACAUCCAACUUGCAUUAAAUCUUGUUCUCCUUCCAAGUUUUCAAUAGAUAUUUCUUUCAAAUUCAUAAACCCCUACAUCAAAAGAAAAUAAGGGUACCGAUUUGUUAGAUGUAAUUCAUAGUAAUUAUUGCGCACUUUUAAAACUAAAUGAGAGGCAAGAAAUCAAGUCAAAUCAGCAGCACCUCUGAUUGAGCACUCAUUGAGUCAUUUGAUGUAGUAGCAGAUUCUGUGGUCAGCUUUGGGCAUCCAUCCACCUUCAACUUCUUCAAAUGAGGGAAUAAGAAAUCAUAACAUCCGAGACUAAAAGAGGAAAUACUUGGUAAUUGUACAAGCAACAACUCCUGCAGAUCAGGGAGCACCAUCUCCUUCUCAAGAUUGGCAGGUGAAGCAUGAUCAUCCUGCCCAAAUACUCCCAAUAAUUGAGAGGAUUCCCUUACUUCAAGUUGUUGGAGCUUUUUGAGACCUGAAGCCAUGGCUAUCGGGAAGAGACUCUUCAACUUGUUGCAUCCUGUGAUCUCAAGUCGACACAAA